rnacentral:misc_RNA from 1 species
AAAAUUCAGCAAUUAAUUUAUAAAUUAACUAGCUAAAAUUAGUUGCUAAAAACAUCGUCUUCUAAUAUAGUUGGAAUGUAGCCAUAGCUCCUGCCAUAUUUCUUUCCUUCUUCAGUAUGCUUGUAUAUAAGCAAGACAAUUAUUUUUCUUUCAAUCAAGGAGAAUACUUCUCAGAUUUCUUUCCAAUUGAUAAGUGUUUCAAAAAUAGCUACCAG